rnacentral:rRNA from 1 species
UACAGAGGGUGCGAGCGUUGUUCGGAAUUAUUGGGCGUAAAGGGCGCGUAGGCGGUGCGGUAAGUCACCUGUGAAAUCUCCUGGCUCAACUGGGAGCUUGCAGGCGAAACUGCCGUGCUGGAGUGUGGGAGAGGUGCGUGGAAUUCCCGGUGUAGCGGUGAAAUGCGUAGAUAUCUGGAGGAACACCGGUGGCGAAGGCGGCAUCCUGGACCGGCAUUGACGCUGAGGAGCGAAAGCCAGGGGAGCAAACGGG